rnacentral:rRNA from 1 species
CCUACGGGGCGCAGCAGUGGGGAAUAUUGGGCAAUGGGCGCAAGCCUGACCCAGCAACGCCGCGUGAAGGAAGAAGGCUUUCGGGUUGUAAACUUCUUUUCUGAGGGACGAUAGUGACGGUACCUCAGGAAUAAGCCACGGCUAACUACGUGCCAGCAGCCGCGGUAAUACGUAGGUGGCAAGCGUUAUCCGGAUUUAUUGGGUUUAAAGGGUGCGUAGGCGGAAUGCCAAGUCAGCGGUAAAAUCGCGGGGCUCAACCUCGCUCCGCCGUUGAAGCUGGCGUUCUUGAGUGGGCGAGAAGUAUG